UGUACACGCUGUGACUAGCAUAUCAAUAAGCGGAGGAAAAGAAACUAACAAGGAUUCCCCUAGUAACGGCGAGUGAAGCGGGAAGAGCUCAAAUUUGAAAUCUUAAAGGGUUUCCCUUUACGAAUUGUAGUUUAAAGAAGUGUUUUCUGUUGAGGUUUUGGUAAAAGUUCUUUGGAAUAGGACAUCAUAGAGGGUGAGAAUCCCGUAUUUGACCUUUACUUUCAACUUUGUGAUACACUUUCAAAGAGUCGGAUUGUUUGGGAAUGCAGUCCAAAAUGGGUGGUAAAUUUCAUCUAAAGCUAAAUAUUGGCGAGGAGACCGAUAGCGAACAAGUACCGUGAGGGAAAGAUGAAAAGAACUUUGAAAAGAGAGUUAAACAGUACGUGAAAUUGUCAAAAGGGAAGCGUUUGACACCAGUGUUGUUUUUCUGAAAAUCAAUUAAAGAACUGUUUAUGCUAAGUUGUUUAGACUUUAUCAGCUAACUGUUUAGUUUUGAGCUUUUCUUUAAUGCACUUUUCAGUUAACAAGUCAACAUCAAUUUCUUUUGCUGUAAAAAAGCUUGAGGAAGGUGGCUUGAGAUUCGUCUUAAGUGUUUAUAGCCUCUUGCCUAUGCAGUCGGAGAGAUUGAGGUCUGCAGCGUAGAUCCUUCGGGGCUAAAUGCAUUUGUGCUAAGUUAUAGCAUUUUAUAGACAACUUGUUGACUAUGAUUUGUCUUGUAGCUUACUCGCUUAUGUUAUUUUACCUACGCUUAGGAUGUUGACAGCAGUAUAGACUGU
rnacentral:rRNA from 1 species